CUUGGAAGUCCUUUCCGGGUUGACAGAGAAUCUGGAGGUGGAGCACCUUUGCUGGGUGGUACACUCCGGCUGCCAGCAGGAUCAAGAGUCAGCUGAGACCUUUACUGGAGAGACAACAUACCUUUCUUCAAGUCUCCAUCCUGCCCAAGGCUCCCAGCUGGACUCAAGGUGCAAGCCAGGGGUCUGGGGUCAUUUUGGAGAGAAAGCAAAUGUCCCAGAAGUAGCAAAUGACCUUAACUACCCCUGCUACCUCCCGGGAAGGUGCAGAGAGCUCCCUGCACCCAUCCCUCUGCGCAGCCCGCCCUCCCGUCGCCUGACGAUCUGGCCUCUCCUCACUGGGGGCGAUCUGAAUGCCCCAUCUUCCUCCCCGCCGCCAUCCUUUGGCUUCUCCCGCUCCCCAAGCCACCUUUCCAUACACCCACGGCACCACAGCCACAGGCUUCUCCCGCUCCCCAAGCCACCUUUCCAUACCCCACGGCACCACAGCCACAGCACACCUCCAGCCCACCCUUAGUUUUCCCUUCCCACUAUGCCUCACCUCCCGUGGAAGGUGCUGUCUUCCCUAAGCUAGUCCCGGGAAUCAGCACCGAGGGGGCGGGGCUCCUUUCGAAUCUCUAAGGCCCCACCUACAACUACCACAUGCGGGCAAUGAUUGGCGGAGCCCUAGGGGCCGGGGCUCCGGCGGGCAUGCGGCCGGAAGUCGGCUGGUGGCGAACUGUUCCAAAAGACUCCAUCCGGGCUGAAGCGGGGAAGGAUGGACCUCACCCCUGCCCUGACGGAACAGGAACCAAGGGACCCGAGGACCUACAGUGCCCUGAGAGCCCCUCCUGCCUGUGUGGCUCAGGACCUGACCGCCUCAGGAGGAGGCAAAAAAGGGAGCAGAGAGACACCCUUAAGAACUGAAAGACUGAGAAUACCUUGGAAAAUAUAGCAUUGUUUCACCUGAACUAAAGAGAAAAAUUAAAGAAAUAAGUGGCACACAGGCUGAGAUGGGGGAAUCAGAAGAAGCAUGAGCAGAACAGCCCCGAGAGUCAGAAGGGAUCCCUGCAGGGGAUGGAGCUGAAGAUGAAGGGUGACAAGCCCGGACGGUGCAAUCUUCCUCCCUGGAGGGCUCCUGUGCCAGAAAUUGCUUAAGCGGAAUUCCCUGAUAAGAUGAUGAAUGGAUCGGGGCCAACUUACCUUACUAGAAUACUCCAACUCUGAGGAUUAGUGGGCGAGGGUUCUGUUUUCUGCCUGCAACCAGACCCCCGUGGGAGGGCAGAAGAUGGGCUUGAGGCUAAAGUGGCUGACAAAAUGAGCCAGGUGGCAGAGGGCUGUCUGGCAGCCCCGGUGAACAGGCAGCAGCAAGCUCUUUCCCAGCUCAACCCAGGUCUUCUUGUCUGCGUGAGCAAGUAGCAAUCUGACCUUUUGCUAAGAAUUUUAACAGGAGAGUUCAUCUGGAGCAUCUCUUUUCACACAUUCAAAACAAGGGAGUAAUUGUACCGACCUUGGAGAAACAUGACUUUCCCUGAGGCUCAAGGUCUGUUUCCUCCUCAGAUGCCAAGAGGGACGUGAACAAAAGACUAGAUCCCUAAAGCUUGUGGGUUUUCAAAGGCCAGGUUUGAGAGCCUCAGUUUGAUUUUCUUCCUUCACAGAGUCUUGGGGAGAAGGCAUUUUGGAAAGUCCUUUGAGAGCCACUGGCUUCUGAGCUAUGUAUCUUAGUACUGUAUUUCUUUCAGAAUGCUGUCUAAUUCUUUCUGAAAAACCAGUAAAGGAGACUACUUAAAGUCCAAAGAUCUCAACUCCUCUUGAUUAGAAAAUUCCUCCUAAUUCUACCCUGAUUUCAUUCUGGUGAGGUUUACACCAUUUCCUUAUUCUUGCUCAUGGGAAAUAAUUGUUCAUAUCCUCUCAUAAUUCCCUUUCACAUCCUUAAAGAUUUUUCUGCAGCAAUUCCCUAUGGGCUAUGUGGUUCGGACUGAUGUUACCUGUUGCAGCCUGGAGAUUAAAGAAAUAAGAUGGACACACUGAAAGAGUGGAGGUGUGUGUGUGCAUGUGCUCACAUGCAUGUAUACAUGUGAGCACACGUGCCUGUGUGAGAGUGGUUACUCAAAGAAGACAAAUGCAUAAAGCAAUAUGGCUUUGAAACACAACCAGAGAUUUCAAGGGAUCCAAAAGGUACCAGCAUUUCUUAGAGACACAUUAACAGAUGCCCAGGAUGUACCCUUGGCCUUAUCAGAAACCUGCCUGGAGGAGGAGCACAAUGGGAAAGGAGUGUGGUGACCUUGGAGGCAUCUUGUGAAGAACAAGAGCAUCACUUCCUUAAAGGCCAUAAAAAUAAGGUCAGAAAAAAUAAAAGGACAUGGAAAUGGCAACACGUCUCUGAAGAAAGACUCCAUCAGCUCCUCCCCUGGGGUGGUCGUCUCCUCAUACUGAUGGCUUUAGACCUGGCUCACGGUCCCCCUCUCCACACUGCUCAGUCAUGAGUCCCAGUGACUUCAAUGCCCAUCCUUCUAAUCUCUGCAGGGCCUCUCACACCCACGCCUCCCACUCCUCCUUUGCCUUUGUCCUCUGCUGCUUCAGCCCCUGCUUCCUUAGGUCUUCUCUAGACCAGGAACUGCAAGCCCUCUCGAAUCUGAAUCUCAAACAUCCCACCCUCUCAUCACCUUGAUGCCAGAGAUGGCUGCAUGUCCACACAAAUUUGUAAUCUCUCUUCCAUAGUAUGGUUAUCUCUGCGGAGGGCCUGCCCACCCUCUGCAUGCCCAUGAGACUAGUUCUUGCCAAUGAAGUGUGAGUGGAAAUGAUGAGAACCACUUCUGAGCCCAGGCUGUAAAGAAAUGAGUUCUCUAGUUCCCUUUCUGUCAGCCACAUGCAGGUGAUCAUGGGGCUCUAAGGCAUGGCAGAGCUACAAGAUGGAAGAGGCCUGGGUUUCUGAAAUAGUGUAUGGAGAACUAUCUGCUGAAGAGGCACUCUUGCUUUUAGUUGUCUUGCUAGUAAGAAAUAAACAUCGAUUGUUUCUGAGGCUUAAAUUCUGAAGUCUGUUUGUUUUGUCCACUCGCAAACCCUGACAAGUAACAGUCUGUCCCCUUGGCCCUCACUCCCUGAAGUUCCGACAUCAUCGAUGCUUCAGUGCCACCCUCUGGUCCAUUAUCCUGCUGCCCUUUCACUUUCCAUCACACCUUGAUCACUUCCCUUCCCACCCAACGGGGCGUCCAUGGUCCUCAUUAUGCUCCCUCCUUGCACACCCACUCAAAUACCUGCCUUAUCUUUCACUGCACUGCACCCUCCCAGCAGUACCCAACCCCAGUUAAUUACGGUCCACCCACUAGGUGCCUGCA